CCUAGGGGGGCAGCAGUGGGGAAUAUUGGACAAUGGGCGAAAGCCUGAUCCAGCCAUGCCGCGUGUGUGAAGAAGGCCUUCGGGUUGUAAAGCACUUUCAGUGGGGAAGAAAGCCUUGGGGCUAAUACCCUCGAGGAAGGACAUCACCCACAGAAGAAGCACCGGCUAACUCCGUGCCAGCAGCCGCGGUAAUACGGAGGGUGCGGGCGUUAAUCGGAAUUACUGGGCGUAAAGCGCGCGUAGGCGGUCUGAUAAGCCGGUUGUGAAAGCCCCGGGCUCAACCUGGGAACGGCAUCCGGAACUGUCAGGCUAGAGUGCAGGAGAGGAAGGUAGAAUUCCCGGUGUAGCGGUGAAAUGCGUAGAGAUCGGGAGGAAUACCAGUGGCGAAGGCGGCCUUCUGGACUGACACUGACGCUGAGGUGCGAAAGCGUGGGUAGCAAACAGGAUUAGAUACCCGUGUAGUC
rnacentral:rRNA from 1 species